rnacentral:rRNA from 1 species
UUACCUCAGUAACGGCGAGUGAAGCGGUAACAGCUCAAAUUUGAAAUCUGGCAGCAAUGUCCGAGUUGUAAUUUGUAGAGGAUGUUUCGAGCAUGGUCUGGCCUAAGUUCCUUGGAACAGGACGUCAUAGAGGGUGAGAAUCCCGUAUGCGGUCAGGUGCCUACGCUCAUGUGAAACUCCUUCGACGAGUCGAGUUGUUUG